ensembl:lncRNA
CUGUAGGAUGGGACUGCUGCUAAGAGAGGAAGUUACUGUUGCUUUCCUUGCCAGAAACCAGCAGGUUCUGGAGUCGCCUUCUCCCUUCAAGCAUCCUAACCCUCUCGGCAUCCAAGCCAGGAAACGGCACCGCUAACACUUUGUUUUUGAACUUCACACUUACCUCUUCAUGAUUUCAUUGUUUAUGCUUCCAGAAGAGUUGAGGGAAAUGAACUAACACAUCGAAAAUAAUUAAAAAGCAGCAUCAUAUUACACAUUGAUGCAGGGUAUAGCUAAAUACCAGAGUAAGCACGGAAUUAGGAACUUGAGUGUGUAAGGACCAAUGUGUUUGAGAGAAUGCUUGAUCUUUGAAUUGAGAGAGUUGCCUGGAAAUUGGUGAAGGUGAACGCAGGUGAAGAGGAGUGUGCGUGCUGAGAACUCAAAGCCUGUGCGGUUUGAUGGGGAGGACGGAGCCAGAUUGGAGAAAGUGUCGAUCCACCACCAGACAGAGGCGUUUGGGUUUGAUCAUGCAGAAAAUAUGAAAAACUCAGAUGUUUUUGAGUGGUAAAAGCCUGACAAAGAGCCUUAAGGCAGCGUUAACUCUCAAAGUCUCAGUUUUUCAAUGUGUAAACAUUGAUGUGUUUGUGCACUCAUAUAUUACAAAUAUGUCAUGCAAGGAAAAAUGUGUUUGAGGCAGGAAAUAAACAAAUGUAUUAUUGACAUUCUUAAGUGAGACUCUCAAUCGGCAUUAACAUUAAAAACAUAAAUCCUUCUUUUCAAAGUUUGCUUAUAAUCCUUCCAUCUGCGUGUUAGUCCUGGCGACAGCAAAGACAGCUCCAUCUACAGCAUGGAAACAACACAGGUAAACAGCACCGGAGUUGCUGUAACCGAGAAUGCAGAGGACAACCAGAAUUCGUGUUCUCAAAUCAAGGCAAAAACAUCUUGGAGACAGUAUGAUUAUUAUGUGAGUUUUCCCUUUUAGUGCUCCUUUUAAAAGCUGCAGUUCACCUUUAAAAAUUAAAGUCCACUGACAUGCAGAAUGAUCAUAAAAUAGAUGUUUCAUUGUUAGGGUGGAAAGUUUCUAUAAUUG